rnacentral:rRNA from 1 species
UACGUAGGAGGCGAGCGUUGUCCGGAGUUACUGGGCGUAAAGGGUGCGCAGGCGGCGGUUCGCGUGGAUAGAUGAAAUCUCCUGGCUUACCUGGGAGGAUGGUAUCCAGACGGGAUCGCUUGAGGGUCGGAGAGGGGCGUGGAAUUCCGGGUGGAGCGGUGAAAUGCGUAGAGAUCCGGAGGAACACCGACGGCGUAGGCAGCGCCCUGGACGACACCUGACGCUGAGACGCGAAAGCGUGGGGAGCGAACAGG